CCUACGGGAGGCUGCAGUGAGGAAUAUUGGUCAAUGGACGAGAGUCUGAACCAGCCAAGUAGCGUGAAGGAUGACUGCCCUAUGGGUUGUAAACUUCUUUUAUAUGGGAAUAAAAUGUUCCACGUGUGGGAUUUUGUAUGUACCAUAUGAAUAAGGAUCGGCUAACUCCGUGCCAGCAGCCGCGGUAAUACGGAGGAUCCGAGCGUUAUCCGGAUUUAUUGGGUUUAAAGGGAGCGUAGGUGGAUUGUUAAGUCAGUUGUGAAAGUUUGCGGCUCAACCGUAAAAGUGCAGUUGAAACUGGCAGUCUUGAGUACAGUAGAGGUGGGCGGAAUUCGUGGUGUAGCGGUGAAAUGCUUAGAUAUCACGAAGAACCCCGAUUGCGAAGGCAGUUCACUGGACUGCAACUGACACUGAGGCUCGAAAGUGUGGGUAUCAAACAGGAUUAGAUACCCGUGUAGUC
rnacentral:rRNA from 1 species